UACGUAGGGUGCAAGCGUUGUCCGGAAUUAUUGGGCGUAAAGAGCUCGUAGGCGGUUUGUCGCGUCGAAUGUGAAAACCCGGGGCUCAACCCCGGGCCUGCAUUCGAUACGGGCAGACUAGAGUUCGGUAGGGGAGUCUGGAAUUCCUGGUGUAGCGGUGAAAUGCGCAGAUAUCAGGAGGAACACCGGUGGCGAAGGCGGCUCUCUGGGCCUUACCUGACGCUGAGGAGCGAAAGCGUGGGUAGGCGAACAGG
rnacentral:rRNA from 1 species